rnacentral:rRNA from 1 species
GUAAAAGCUCGUAGUUGGAUCCUGUAUGGAAGGGGCGUCCCCACCCUUUGGAGGGGGGUUGCUACCUUCUUUGCAUCUUCUUGAGUAGGUGUUCCUUACUUAACUGUGAGGACAUCGUGCUCGGGACGUUUACUUUGAGGAAAAGAGAGUGCUCCAAGCAGGCAAACGCCUGAAUACGUUAGCAUGGAAUAAUAGCAUCGGAUCAUCGUACAGCUGUUGGUGUCUGGACGAGGAUAAAGGUGAACAGGGAUUGUUGGGGGCAUUCGUAUUUAACUGUCAGAGGUGAAAUUCUUGGAUUUGUUGAAGACGAGCUACUGCGAAAGCAUUUGCCAAAGAUGUUCUCAUUGAUCAAGAACGAAAGUUUGGUGAUCGAAGACGAUCAGAUACCGUCCUAGUCUUAACCAUAAACUAUGCCAACUGGAGAUGGGACGUGUUUAUUUUACGACUCUUCCUGCAUCUUGAGAGAAAUCAAAGUCUUUGGGUUCCGGGGGGAGUAUGGUCGCAAGGCUGAAACUUAAAGGAAUUGACGGAAGGGCACCACCAGGAGUGGAGCCUGCGGCUUAAUUUGACUCAACACGGGGAAACUUACCAGGUCCGGACAUAGGUAGGAUUGACAGACUGAGAGCUCUUUCUAGAUUCUAUGGGUGGUGGUGCAUGGCCGUUCUUAGUUGGUGGAGCGAUUUGUCUGGUUAAUUCCGUUAACGAACG